rnacentral:rRNA from 1 species
CCUUACUGCUCAGUAACACGUGGAUAACCUGCCCUUGGGUCCGGCAUAACCCCGGGAAACUGGGGAUAAUUCCGGAUAACGCAUAUAUGCUGGAAUGCUUUAUGCGUCAAAUGGAUUCGUCUGCCCAAGGAUGGAUCUGCGGCCUAUCAGGUAGUAGUGGGUGUAAUGUACCUACUAGCCAACAACGGGUACGGGUUGUGAGAGCAAGAGCCCGGAGAUGGAUUCUGAGACAUGAAUCCAGGCCCUACGGGGCGCAGCAGGCGCGAAAACUUUACAAUGCGGGAAACCGUGAUAAGGGGACACCGAGUGCUAGCAUCAUAUGCUGGCUGUCCAGGUGUGUAAACUACACCUGUUAGCAAGGGCCGGGCAAGACCGGUGCCAGCCGCCGCGGUAACACCGGCGGCCCGAGUGGUGAUCGUGAUUAUUGGGUCUAAAGGGUCCGUAGCCGGUUUGGUCAGUCUUCCGGGAAAUCUGAUAGCUUAACUAUUAGGCUUUCGGGGGAUACUGCCAGGCUUGGAACCGGGAGAGGUAAGAGGUACUACAGGGGUAGGAGUGAAAUCUUGUAAUCCCUGUGGGACCACCUGUGGCGAAGGCGUCUUACCAGAACGGGUUCGACGGUGAGGGACGAAAGCUGGGGGCACGAACCGGAUUAGAUGCCCGGGUAGUCCCAGCCGUAAACGAUGCUCGCUAGGUGUCAGGCAUGGCGCGACCGUGUCUGGUGCCGCAGGGAAGCCGUGAAGCGAGCCACCUGGGAAGUACGGCCGCAAGGCUGAAACUUAAAGGAAUUGGCGGGGGAGCAC